rnacentral:rRNA from 1 species
AAGUCGAACGGCAGCGCGGGGCAACCUGGCGGCGAGUGGCGAACGGGUGAGUAAUACAUCGGAACGUACCCUGUGAUGGGGGAUAACUACGCGAAAGCGUAGCUAAUACCGCAUACGACCUACGGGUGAAAGUGGGGGAUCGCAAGACCUCACGUCAUAGGAGCGGCCGAUGGCGGAUUAGCUAGUUGGUGAGGUAAAGGCUUACCAAGGCGACGAUCCGUAGCUGGUCUGAGAGGACGACCAGCCACACUGGGACUGAGACACGGCCCAGACUCCUACGGGAGGCAGCAGUGGGGAAUCUUGGACAAUGGGCGAAAGCCUGAUCCAGCAAUGCCGCGUGUGGGAUGAAGGCCCUCGGGUUGUAAACCACUUUUGGCGGGGACGAA